AAAUAAAUGUUCCUGGUUCACGACUCCAACAGCACAGAAGGGCGGCUGUUCUUCAUCCUGGAGCUUCCCUGCAGAACCAAGCAUAUGUAUAUAUAUAUUCCAGCAUAAAAGAGCUCAUCCUACAAGGAUGCUUUGAAGGUCCAAGAAGCACUAUCCACUCCAUGGGAGACCCGAAGUUCUGAACAUCAGCAUGUGAGUCAGUGAUGCAGCUUGUCACAGGACGUCAGCGUUCAGAGAAAGCAGCAGGUCCAUUUGGCACAGUGUCAUCAUCAUGUCAGGACAGGAGCUUUUUUGGUGGUGGAGUCAGAAGGAGAGUCUUUGAGAAUUCUGGAUGCUGGUGGCAUCAAGGAGCUUGGCGUCAGGAGCACUGGGUUGAGUUCUGGAACUGCUUGC